GACGAACGCUGGCGGUGUGCUUAACACAUGCAAGUGGCGCGACGAACCAGAGCUUGCUCUGGGGCAAAGCCGCGAACGGGUGAGUAACACGUGGGUAACCUGCACCGAUGACUGGGACAACCCGGGGAAACCCGGGCUAAUACCGGAUGAUGCACCCCGGCUCACGCCGGGAUGCCCAAGGUAGCUUCGGCUUCCGCAUUGGGAGGGGCCCGCGGCCCAUUAGCCUGUUGGUGGGGUAAUGGCCUACCAAAGCAACGAUGGGUAGCUGGUCUGAGAGGACGAUCAGCCACACUGGGACUGAGACACGGCCCAGACUCCUACGGGAGGCAGCAGUGGGGAAUCUUGCGCAAUGCGCGAAAGCGUGACGCAGCAACACCGCGUGAGGGAAGACGGCCUUAGGGUUGUAAACCUCUUUCAGUUGGGACGAAGGUUCGACGGUGAAUAGCCGGCCGGACUGACGGUACCUUCAGAAGAAGCUCCGGCUAACUACGUGCCAGCCGCCGCAGUAA
rnacentral:rRNA from 1 species